CCCUCACUAACCUGUCUGCAUGGUGGUGGCGUAGGCGUGACAAUAUUCAAUUAGCUCAACUUGGGACCACACCCUCUUCCUCUCCUCUCCUCUCCUCUCCUCUCCCUCACCCUUUUUAUUAACCCUUAAUGACCAAUACAAUACAAGUAGAUGAUAAGUCCUUACCCUACCAUUUCCUUCCUUCCUCACUAACUCCCUAUUUAAACCCUUCUCCUCAUCCCCCUCUUCCCUAUCCGAGUUGAACUGUGGGCUAUGACCACCCCUUCUAGUGGAGAAGGAGAAGGAGAAGGAGAAGGAAAAGAAGAUUAGAUAACUGUUGAUAGCCAAAGCCAAAGAUUGGGGGGAUGCUUCUGCUAUUUACAAAGUCCGUGCAUCAUCAUCAGUUGAAGCUGCCAGCAUGAUCUAAACUCUCCCUUGAGGGAAAGAUCAGAUCAUGUGGCAGUUUCAUCUGUUGAUGGGGGCACGAUAGAUCAGAUCAUGUAGUAGUUUCACCUGUUGAUGAAGUUGAUGGGAGAUAUUGUUGGGGUAUUAAGUGACAGAAUUUCUUCAUCUCAACGCGGGUUGGUGCUUUUGAGAUCCCUCUUCCUCUAAUCUAAGCCCUAUAUGUGAACUCUCUCAGCCUCGGGAAGUGAGUUCUUUGUUAUUCGUUCCAGUAUUGUCUCCCUCCUUGAUUUCUAUAAUAUUCUAAUCUAUAAUCUUUAUUAGGGUAUGCCGUAUGCUUGACUUUUCUCAUAUAUGCUUUGGACUAAUAAAAUUUCUUUGUUUAACAUUUCAUGGAAGUGAAGAUUGCAGCAAACAGGAUUGGGUUUCAAUCUUUGUGUCCUUUCAUGGACUGAGACCUCUUUUCUUCUUCUUUUUCUUCAUGGGUUUUCUUCUCCUUCUCUUUUUUUUUUUGGGUUAUCUUAAUUCCUAUUUGGAUCUUGGAACUAACUACAUCAAAUUUGUUUGCAAAAGCCAAUUAAUCUCCCCCUUAAUCAAAUCAGUCUACUUCAAGAAGGUGGGAUUGUAUAUGGUUUCAUCUUUUCAUGUGGUUGCCAAUCUGCUCCUUAAAUCAAAUUGGGACUUGUUUUGAAUUCAAGAUUGAAUUUCUUCAGUGGCCCUACCAGAGCUUCCAUGGAACUACAAAGUAACACCUAUUGGAAGUGCAGCAAAUCUGGGCAUCUUAUAAAAUGAAAACCAGAAAAUGAUUGUACUGUUUUAAAUAUGAAUAUGGCUUGAGAAAUUCUAGGAUUCAGGUCUGCUGUAAGAAAUAUAUUUUCUUUGUAUAAAUUGGUUCAGAAAAGUGUAUCUUUUCUUCCUUUGGUCUGGGCAAACAAAAUGAUCAGAGAUGAAGCUCUAAA